rnacentral:rRNA from 1 species
GCGGACGGGUGAGUAACGCGUGGGAAACCUGCCCUGUACCGGGGGAUAACACUUAGAAAUAGGUGCUAAUACCGCAUAAGCGCACAGCUUCACAUGAGGCAGUGUGAAAAACUCCGGUGGUACAGGAUGGUCCCGCGUCUGAUUAGCCAGUUGGCAGGGUGACGGCCUACCAAAGCGACGAUCAGUAGCCGGCCUGAGAGGGUGAACGGCCACAUUGGGACUGAGACACGGCCCAAACUCCUACGGGAGGCAGCAUG